rnacentral:lncRNA from 1 species
UAAGGUUGCAAAAUAAACUGAUAUGACAAGCUCAUAUUUCAUUUAUUCUGUCUAGAAAUGAAACACCAUCUAAAAACUGCCAGAGCAAGGUCAAUGCUUUCCUAUGAAGUCCUUAAGCAGAAAACUUAUCUUGUGACAAAUAUUUGGAUGACACAACUGUUCACCUCAUUGCAAGUUCCUAGAGAUGAAGCACCGUCUUUUCUGAUGAUUCAUAUAUGAUUAAAACUACAAACAUCUGUU